CUCCUCUGCGUCCGGCCCCGAGGAGGGCCCCCCUCUCGCGCGCACUCUUUCGCUCGCUCGCUGGCCCGCCCUCCUCGGGGACCCCGAAGCCCAGGAGCGGCUGGGGCUGUGCUUUCCUAAGGGCCAGGCAGGAGGAGGCCCCGGCCUAGGCCAGCAUCUGUGGCUGCCAGGGACUGUCCACGCGGGGACACAGCCAGCACCCCUCGGCCUCCAUGUCGGGCCUCCCCGGACCUCAGCUCCGAGAGCUCACAGCUGCCCUGACCUCGGCCAGCUGCCGCCCGCGGCGGCCUGGGGACAGAGGUGCUGGGCGGGCCCCUCCACGCGCUGGGUGCUGACGUGUAAAUAAAACCGGGUUUCCUCUUGGCGCGCGGGAGGGCCGAGCCUUAUAAAUAAGUGGGAGGGGAGGAAGGGCCGCCCCGUGGGAUCCCUGGCGGGUGGCCAGGGCUCCCAGUCUAGGGGCCGCCAGGAAAAGCAUCCCGGCUGGAGGUGGGGAACUUGGGGCCCGCCCAGCCCCAGAAACGCCAUGUCAGCAAAACCGCCCAGGAGGUGGGGGGGGGGCUACGUCACACCCCGUGAGGGGCGAGGGUCUGCCCAGAGGAGCUUCCCCAGGCAGAGGCUGUGUCCGGCCCACACAGGACGAGAGGCUGCUGGGAAAACGGCGCUGCCUUCGGAAGCCCUGGGGGCUUCAUGGGGGACCCCUGCGCUCUCAGUGUCUCUCCAGGCUCUUGGCGAAGCCCACUAGGCUCACGCUUCUGGCCGGGCCCCCUGGAGCACCUCCCUGCCGGCCCGUGUCUCCGCACAAGAGCCCGACCCGACCGAUGGGUUCUCCUGCGUCUCCUGUGCCCUGGCCGCCCCUCCCGCUGAGGGCAGGAGUCCGGUGUGGCUGAGCACCUGCUGGCUGUAGAUCUGUCCCUGGCUAGCCGUGCACCCAACAAGCCUCUCCUGCUCUGGACAACGGGAUCUGUGCGAGGGGAUAGAGCGAGGCAGAGAGAGCAAUGCCUGGGCCCGGGGUCUGCUCCCUGCUAAUGCGCCUGCACCUGCAUGGGAGAACCGGAAGAAGCUCCUGGCUCCUGGCUUCAGCCUGGCCCAGCCCUGGCCGUUGCUGCCAUUUGGGAAGUGAACCUGCAGAUGGACGAUCUCUCCCUCUCUCUCUCUCUGCCUCUGCCUCUCUGUAACUCUGCCUUUCAAACACACAAAUCUUAAAAAAGUUUGUGGCGGCUCACUAGGCUAAUCCUCCACCUGCGGCGCUGGCACCGCGGGUUCUAGUCCCGGUUGGGGCACCAGUUCUAUCCCGGUUGCUCCUCUUCCCGUCCAGCUCUCUGCUGUGGCCGGGGAGGGCAGUGGAGGAUGGCCCAAGUGCUUGGGUCCUGCACCCCAUGGGAGACCAGGAGGAAGCACCUGGCUCCUGGCUUCGGAUCGGCGCAGCUCUGGCAGUGGUGGCCCAUUUGGGGAGUGAACCAACAGAAGGAAGACCUUUCUCUCUGUUUCUCUCUCUCUCUCUCCCUCUCUCCCUCUCUCUCUCUCUCUGUAUAACUUUGCCUGUCAAAAAAAAAAAAGUGUGUGGCGGGCAGGCGCUGUGGUGCAGUGGGCCAAGCCACUGUUUGGGACACCUGUGUUCCGCACCAGAGCGCCUGGCAGUGACUCCUGCCCCUACUUCUGGUCCAGCUCCCUGCUAACGCACACCUGAGCAGGCAGCAGAAGACGGCUCAAGCGUUUGGGUCCCUGCCACCCACGGGGCAGGCCAAGCACGAGUUCUGGGCUCCUGGCUGCAGCUCAGCCCUGGCCGACUCGGGCACCUCGAGAGUGAAACAGCAGGAGGAAGAUGUCUUGCUCUUUGUCUCUCCCUCUCUGUCACUUUGCCUCCCGAAUAGAUAAAUAAAUAAGCCUUUUUUGAAAACUGUGGAAGGAAACACAGUUAAAAAGUAGUUCUAGUGGCGCUGGCACUGUGGCCCAAUGGGCUAAAGCCUCCGCCUGCGGUGCUGGCGUUCCAUGUGGGCGCCGGUUUCAGUCCUGGCUGCUUCCGCUCCAGUCCAGCUCUCUGCCGUGGCCUGGGAAAGCAGUGGAAGAUGGCCCAAGUGCGGCCCUGCACCCACAUGGGAGACCCGGAAGAAUCUCCUGGCUCCUGGCUUCGGACCGGCGCAGCUCUGGCUGCUGCAGCCAUCUGGGGAAUAAACUAGCGGACGGAAGACCUGUCUGUCUCUCCCUCUCUC